rnacentral:rRNA from 1 species
GACAAACAGAUCGAGUUAAGAGUUAUUGGUAUAAAAGGAAGUUUGAGAGUUUAGUUUUAAUGGGUAUGUCGUCUUUAUAGGGGUGGAAUCUGCAUAAAGAUGGUUGUUUUUCCCCAUUUUUUACUUGAUGCUUCGAAAUUUAUUAGCAAGACCGGGAUUAGAUACCCCGUUAUUUUAAAUGUAAACUAAAAUUGUUAAUGUAUUUUACCUGAGUAUUACGAGCUAUAAUAUAAGCUUAAAACUCAAAAAACUUGGCGGUGCCUUAAUUCCUUCCAGGGGAACCUGUCCUGUAAAUGAUAGUCCACGAUUAAGCUUACUUUUCUAUUGUAUUGCAUUUAUUAAUGUAACAGUUUGUAUACCGUCGUCGUCAGAGUACCUUUGAAAGACAAGUAGUUGUCGGGUUAAGGAGUUUAUUUGUCUUUGUAUGAUUAAUAGAAUUUUUAGAUGUCAGAUCAAGGUGCAGCUAAUGAGAAAGUAGAGAUGGGUUACAGUAUCAAUUUGAUAUAUGGAUUUUAAAUUGUAAAUACUUAAAUGAAAGCGGACUUGGGAGUAAUUUAAUUACCUUAAUAAGAUAGUUUAUGUGAAAUAGGUACUAAGGUGCGU